UCAUGAGUCAUGUUGUCGGUUCGGUUGGUCGGGUAGAGUGUAGAGAUGCUAGAGAAAGCAAAAAGCAUGCAUGAUAGCUAUGAUAGUAAUUUGAAAACAGAAAUCAUGUGGUUAUUACUUUUUAGUUUUUAGUCAUUGAUUGAUUCUGUGUGUGAUGCACUGCUGAAAGCUGAAUGCAGAUGCGUAUAAAAUUACGGUAAAUUCAAAUGAAAAUAUUAAUUUAAGAGUAAAAUGCUUUUACAAUUUUAAAUUCUCACCACUUCACUUUACACAUAUUUUUCACAGAAUGAGUAGAGAAAUACAAGUUUUGUCACAGGUUAGCUCCACCAUUUGAUCUGGAUUUGCCCUGUACAAAUUAAAUAGAACUAGCAUGCUGUGUGGUUGUUGUGGAUUACUAUGAAAAAAUAAAAGGUGACCUGCACUAAGAAUGUUGUUUAAAAACAUUUUUCAACAUGCAUCAAGAGAAAGCGAUUG